rnacentral:lncRNA from 1 species
GGGCUGAAACAGCAGUGGGGCCUAGCUAGGCCAAGAAAACUCACAUUACACUAUAGUCUGGUGUGUGCUAGGCAACCAUUUUACCUUUGAACUAUAUCCAAGAACUCUUUUAUCUUCAUUAUUGUUAUUAUUUUGAGACAGGAUCUCCCUCCAUUCCUCAAGCUGACUAUGAAUUUAGAAUCUCCCUGACUUAGCCUUUCAGAGGCUGGGGUGUGGGCCUAUGCCAACAGGACCAGCUAGGUAAGCUGUGCUAUGUAGCUGAUUACUGGCUGAUCUUCUGGAACCAAGGAACUUUCUCAAAAACUGUCCACAUGAUCAUCUGUUUGGAGACAUCCCCAGAGGUCAUGAGGGCUGUAUGCCCUUUCUUCUAAGUCAGUUGUUAGUGACUGGAUUAAUAUGAAAGGAGGAACAGAUUAGCACACCACUGUUAAGCACUGACAGUCUUUCCUUGGGCUCUUUGGAAUGUUUUUAGAAUUACUUUUCCAUGGCUUUACAAUCUUCAGAAGCAGCUCUCAGAAGAUGACUCAGGCCUCAGUGCUGACCAGUGGCUACUCAUGAAGACCUUGAGAACCACAUUACGCAUGUCAUACCAGGGACAGAAAGACAUUAUCCGGCCACCAGACAUUUCUGCAAGUUGUUAUGGGGUUUGGGAAUGACUUCACCAUGAAGUCAAAGUUGCUUACUCUUUACUUUGGAAAUGUAGAAUUCACAUAACUAAUAAGAGAGCCAUGAGUCACUUUCAUGGCCUCUCUAGUUUUGGAGAUUUUAACUUUAUUUUAUUAUAUCAUGGCAAAGACUACUUGACCUGAGAUCUGCUCUUGUAAGGGUAUGUGUACAGCAUACUGAUGGGGGCAGUGCAGUACUAUGGUCUCUAUGUCUUCCCCAUUUUGCAGAAUUGACUUUAUGCUCAUGGAUUAACUACUUCCAUGUUCUCUCUCUUUACCCUCCUAGCAGCCACAGUUGUUCUCUGAGCUUGAUUAGUUAAGAUUUCACAUCGGGGUGAAAUCAUGCUCACACACUAUAAGACACUGAUGAAGAAAUUUGAAAGUAAAAAAAAAAAAUCAAUGCAAAGAUGUGUUAGUGAUC